rfam:Clostridium sp. CAG:510 genomic scaffold, scf67
GGGCUAGUCAAGGUUUCGACAGGAGUCUUGCAGCUGGAGAAGCUAUCCGCAGGCGAUGCGUCAAAUCGCAAAAAUAAAUAUAAACGCUGAAGAUAAUUUAGCAUACGCUGCCUAAUGGCAGCUGUCCGCUCUAAGGCACUCACACUUUAGAAUCCGGGCAUCGACUAUGUGAGAAACGACACGGUCUAAGCUUUGCAGCCGUGGGCGUAUCAUGAAGCUACUGAGUACGGCAGGCUGUCAAUUUCCUGCUGUAUGAGGGAACGGGACAUUCGUCCGAGAUAAUUGACUAUGAUAGUAGAAGGACAGGGAAUGGGCUUUUGGACACGGGUUCGACUCCCGUCUGGUCCACUU